GACGAACGCUGGCGGCGUGCUUAACACAUGCAAGUCGAACGAAGAGCGACGGAAGCUUGCUUCUAUCAAUCUUAGUGGCGAACGGGUGAGUAACGCGUAAUCAACCUGCCCUUCAGAGGGGGACAACAGUUGGAAACGACUGCUAAUACCGCAUACGAUCUAACCUCGGCAUCGAGGAUAGAUGAAAGGUGGCCUCUACAUGUAAGCUAUCACUGAAGGAGGGGAUUGCGUCUGAUUAGCUAGUUGGAGGGGUAACGGCCCACCAAGGCGAUGAUCAGUAGCCGGUCUGGGAGGAUGAACGGCCACAAUGGGACUGAGACACGGCCCAGACUCCUACGGGAGGCAGCAGUGGGGAAUCUUCCGCAAUGGACGAAAGUCUGACGGAGCAACGCCGCGUGAGUGAUGACGGCCUUCGGGUUGUAAAGCUCUGUUAAUCGGGACGAAAGGCCUUCUUGCGAAUAGUGAGAAGGAUUGACGGUACCGGAAUAGAAAGCCACGGCUAACUACGUG
rnacentral:rRNA from 1 species